GUGCCAGCAGCCGCGGUAAUACGGAGGGGGUUGGCGUUGUUCGGAAUUACUGGGCGUAAAGCGCACGUAGGCGGAUCAGAAAGUUGGGGGUGAAAUCCCGGGGCUCAACCCCGGAACUGCCUCCAAAACUACUGGUCUAGAGUUCGAGAGAGGUGAGUGGAAUUCCGAGUGUAGAGGUGAAAUUCGUAGAUAUUCGGAAGAACACCAGUGGCGAAGGCGGCUCACUGGCUCGAUACUGACGCUGAGGUGCGAAAGUGUGGGUAGCAAACAGGAUUAGAUACCCGAGUCC
rnacentral:rRNA from 1 species